rnacentral:rRNA from 1 species
CUCCUACGGGAGGCAGCAGUGGGGAAUAUUGGACAAUGGGCGCAAGCCUGAUCCAGCAAUGCCGCGUGUGUGAAGAAGGCCCUAGGGUUGUAAAGCACUUUCAGUUGGGAAGAAACGCAGAGUGAUAAUACCGCUCUGUAAUGACGUUACUGACAGAAGAAGCACCGGCUAACUCCGUGCCAGCAGCCGCGGUAAUA